GACUGUUUUCUGAGUAUCUUCCCUUACUGCCUUUCCUCCAGUGGCUGAGAGGAGAAAUGAACUAAAACUUCCAGCAGCAGUUCAAAACAGGGCUGAUGUUUCACCCUUUUUGCAGAGUUCCAGUCUGACUGGGCUUUCCAAAGGUGCUAAGAGACAUAAGUUCCAAGAAUACAUCACUCAUUUCUUCUUUCUUCUUUCAAGAAAACAAGGUACUUGUGAUUUCUGGGUUCCUCUUCUGACUUAGACAUUGAUUCACUGUCUGGCCUUAGGGUGAAACUUGAUUUCUUGAGCCUUGCAGCAAAGGGUAACCUUCAAAUCCAGCAUCUUUGACUGGCAAGGGGCUGCAGACCCUCAAGGCCUUUUCUUGGCUGCCCAGCAUGGAGGCAGCAAUUCCAGAGUGCUGCUUUUUGUAACAAAAUCUCCGGGUCUGCAGCUUUUCACCAUGGAGUUGAGAGCUAAAAUUCAACAUCUGAGUAAAGCCAAAGCUUCUGGAUUGAAGCUGAAGCAGAGGAGCAUGAGCCAGGGAAACCAGACCCAGAGUCCCAGACACCAAAACCACAGGGAUGUGGAACUUUAGUCUCCCAACCAGCCAGCUCGCUAACAGCGACAGCCAUGAAAAUGAAUGAUUUGGCUUCACCCAAAAUGAUGGAUAAUCCUGCUGGAAGAGCAUGACAAUGAUAGACAGACAUCUUCUGAAGGAGAAGGUAAUAGAAAAGACUGACACUUUGAUAGGCACCAUGAUGAACAAGGCCUGGGGGGCCGUGAGUUAAUAGGUUAAUAGAAGUGCUCCGGCUCUCCCAGCCCCUUCUAUCUCUGUGCUCCUUUUAGAGCUCCUUGGGCAGCAAAAUAACAUUGGGAACACUGGGAGGAGAGAUGCAUUUUGUAA